rnacentral:ncRNA from 1 species
UAUAUAUUGCAUAAAAACACUUUGCAGUUGGUAGUCUGCAAGCAUUCAAAAAAUGUCAGUAACCUUCCCUCCAGGUCGUCCAUUGCAAAAUUUUAUUUU